rnacentral:lncRNA from 1 species
UUCUAUCCUUUCUUUUUUCCUUCAGAAGAGAUUUUGUCCUGAGUGGAGUGUGGCAAGAGAGAGAUUCUGCUUUUCUCGGGAAGCUCAGCUAUAUACCAGCUUCUCCACGAUGCCAGAGUGAGAGAGACCACUGCUGAUCGUGCUGAGGCACAGCUGAAAGAGUUCCUUUCAGGGAAGCAGAUCCAAAAAUGGAGUCACUGGGUAAGCAAUCUGACCUUGCAGCUCAGAUAUGAUUCUAUUUUGGAAAGCUCGAGAGCAGCAGUUCAGUAGAGAGAAAAAUCCUCAUUUCAGACAGUCAUAACUUUUUACUGUAGCAUGCCUUUGCCAAAUGGUAUCAAAAAGAAAAAUAAACAUCAGGAAAAAAAUAGCUUGACUUUUCCCAAAAGGUCUCUGUGGUCCCUUUCCGAGGCCGAGUUCUCUCUGCUGGACUGGGGAAUGAGCUCUGGGUUUACUUAAGCUGUGGAACUAUCAGCACUCUACACAUGGACAGAGGUGUAGGCCAAGAGGCUGAAGAGUGAAAUAGAGGUGUUUCGGGGCAGCUGUCCUGAGGGCCAGUCAAGGUAUCGAGAAGAGCUAGUGCUUCUCCUUGGACUUGGGGCUCAGAAGCGUCAGAAACUAGCUUACAGGGUGUGAGUCUCUGGGUAGGCUCUGUGUGUGUGUAUGUGUGUGUGUGUGUGCGCGCGUGCACACACUUGCGCAUUUGUAGGGGGUGGGUGCACGUAUGUAUGUAUGUAUGCUUAUGUGUGCACAUGUGUAUGGAGGCUGAUGGACAGCCUUAGGUGAUGUCCAUCAGAAGCUGCCAUCCUUGGGGUUUUUUUGAGUGAGGGUCUCACCCUAGCCUCCCUGGUUAUGUAUUAACACCAGAGUUGUGUCUAUGGCAUGUUAACCUUUAUUUUGAUCCAAUUGUAUAAGAGGUCUCUCUUUUCCCCCUCUCUCACACACAUAUGUAUUCUAUGCAGAGUGUAGACAGAUUCCCUUCCCUUUGAAAAUAGCCUCAUGCUUGUUUCCUGUGCGCUUGGUUUGACCCUUGCUAUUCCUUGCUGUUCCUGACAGCUCUUGUCUGCCAGGUUGUACUCUGGGGUUCCUGACCCACAGCUCUGCUGUGCCUAUGCAUUCCUGCUAUCCUGCCUGAGUUUGAAGACAGCCUUGGCUACAUCAUGAGAUCCUGUCUUAAAAUAAAAUUUCUUUUCUUUUUGGUCU